rnacentral:rRNA from 1 species
AACGAACGCUGGCGGCAUGCCUAACACAUGCAAGUCGAACGAGACCUUCGGGUCUAGUGGCGCACGGGUGCGUAACGCGUGGGAAUCUGCCCUUGGGUUCGGAAUAACAGUUAGAAAUGACUGCUAAUACCGGAUAAUGUCUUCGGACCAAAGAUUUAUCGCCCAGGGAUGAGCCCGCGUAGGAUUAGCUAGUUGGUGAGGUAAAGGCUCACCAAGGCGACGAUCCUUAGCUGGUCUGAGAGGAUGAUCAGCCACACUGGGACUGAGACACGGCCCAGACUCCUACGGGAGGCAGCAGUGGGGAAUAUUGGACAAUGGCGAAAGCCUGAUCCAGCAAUGCCGCGUGAGUGAUGAAGGCCUUAGGGUUGUAAAGCUCUUUUACCCGGGUAUGAUAAUGACAGUACCGGGAGGAAUAAAGCCCCGGCCUAAACUCCGUGCCAGCAG